CGCCUGUUUAACAAAAACAUGUCUAUAUGAUUGGUAUGUAAAGUCUGGCCUGCCCACUGAUUUAUUUUAAAGGGCCGCGGUAUAUUGACCGUGCGAAGGUAGCAUAAUCAUUAGUCUUUUAAUUGAAGGCUUGUAUGAAUGGUUGGACAAAAAGCGGACUGUCUCAAUUGCAAUUCAUUGAAUUUAACUUUUAAGUGAAAAGGCUUAAAUAAAUUAAGGGGACGAUAAGACCCUAUAAAGCUUUACAAUAAAUUACUUAUAUUAUAAACUGUUAGUAUAACUUGAUUUUAGGUAAUAUUUGUUGCGUUGGGGCGACGAGAAUAUAAUGAGUAACUGUUCUUAAGUUAAUUAAUAACAUAAAUAUAUGGAAGAUGAAUGAUCCUCUUUUAGAGAUCAUAAGAUUAAGUUACUUUAGGGAUAACAGCGUAAUGUUCUUUGAGAGUCCAUAUCGACAAGAAGGAUUGCGACCUCGAUGUUGAAUUAAGGGUUCCUUAUAAUGCAGCAGUUAUAAAGGAAGGUCUGUUCGACCUUUAAAUCCUUACGUGAUCUGAGUUCAGACCGG
rnacentral:rRNA from 1 species